UACUUACACACACACACACACACACAGAACAAAAAUAAAUAAAAAGCAAAAGACUUACCAUGGAGAUAGAUAAGAACUAACAGGCGCUUACUGCUUGAUUACCGUGUGCUGCGUUUUUACACGUCUAAAACUCACUGGAGUAAACAGCUGGCACCUUGCGAUGCUUCAGGAAAUAGGCCGUCAGCUUUUCAGCAAAACUUGCCCAAAACCCAGAGAAUUCAAGUAGGCUGUGCACAUUUCAACUGAGACUUUUGAUGUGUGUAGUUGAAAGCGGUUUUACCAAACCAGGUAACUUCGCUUCGCCACCCCGUCUCUUUCCAGCAGUGUCCUGAGUGCUGUUCUGUUGCGAGUGCCUUCUCUCGGACUGUAUGCGUCCUUGUUGCAGUCUGCCACUGCAGUUUUUAUAUGUCAUCUGGACACAAGAUGCUCUCUUGUUCCUUGAAGACUGAUCCCACGUGCUUAUCACUACUGGAAGAAACUACUUGUGUUUUUGCAGCUACAGUGGUCUAAACGUUGAGAUAAAGCUUGCAGGGAGAAAUAACUUUUAUCAGUCCAAAAAAUAUGUUAGUAAAGCAAACAGUUCUUUUUUCAUACGUUGGUGGGGAGAGGGUAAAGCAGCUGGAAGAAUGCUUUUUUUUUUUAUUUUAGUAAAAGAUAGUGCCUGCUUAUACUUUGCCAUUCCUAUACAGCAUCCUAUCUAGUUUGCCAUUUCUAUAAAACAUUAUAUUUUCUGGUA